AUUGAACGCUGGCGGCAUGCCUUACACAUGCAAGUCGAACGGUAACAGGUCUUCGGAUGCUGACGAGUGGCGAACGGGUGAGUAAUACAUCGGAACGUGCCCGAUCGUGGGGGAUAACGAAGCGAAAGCUUUGCUAAUACCGCAUAAGAUCUACGGAUGAGAGCAGGGGACCGCAAGGCCUUGCGCGGACGGAGCGGCCGAUGGCAGAUUAGGUAGUUGGUGGGAUAAAAGCUUACCAAGCCGACGAUCUGUAGCUGGUCUGAGAGGACGACCAGCCACACUGGGACUGAGACACGGCCCAGACUCCUACGGGAGGCAGCAGUGGGGAAUUUUGGACAAUGGGCGAAAGCCUGAUCCAGCCAUGCCGCGUGCAGGAUGAAGGCCUUCGGGUUGUAAACUGCUUUUGUACAGAACGAAAAGACUCUUUCUAAUAAAGAGGGUCCAUGACGGUACCGUAAGAAUAAGCACCGGCUAACUACGUGCCAGCAGCCGCCGUAAUAC
rnacentral:rRNA from 1 species